rnacentral:rRNA from 1 species
CCUACGGGAGGCAGCAGUGAGGAAUAUUGGUCAAUGGACGAGAGUCUGAACCAGCCAAGUAGCGUGAAGGAUGACUGCCCUAUGGGUUGUAAACUCCUUUUAUAUGGGAAUAAAUUGUUCCACGUGUGGGAUUUUGUAUGUAUCAUUUGAUUCCGGAUCGGCUAACUCCGUGCCAGCAGCCGCGGUAAUCCGGAGGUUCCGAGCGUUAUCCGGAUUUAUUGGGUUUAACGGGAGCGUAGGUGGAUUGUUAAGUCAGUUGUGAAAGUUUGCGGCUCAACCGUAAAAUUGCAGUUGAAACUGGCAGGCUUGAGUACAGUAGAGGUAGGCGGAAUUCGUGGUGUAGCGGUGAAAUGCUUAGAUAUCACGAAGAACACCGAUUGCGAAGGCAGCUCACUGGACUGCAACUGACACUGAGGCUCGAAAGUGUGGGGAUCAAACAGGAUUAGAUACCCGUGUAGUC